ACUGUGAUGACUUUUGAAGAGGAACGAGUGUUUUUACACUACAGCGAGGCCCGACAGUCUGCGCGAACUUCCCCCCAAAACGAAGAAGAAGAGACAGCAACAGAUGCAGCGCCUACGAUGAAUUUGUUUGGGGACGUAAACGGAAUUUGAUCUUGGGGCCCCCGGCCCAGCAAGCUAUAAAUAGGGAUUUGGAUCAUACUUGAUGGGGAGAGGAAUGGAGCCAAAUACAGGCUCAGUCCUUCCUCUUCCACUGAGGACGCACUGCAAAAAGUGGUCAUCUCAGAUUUGUGGCUCUCUCCAAUUAUGAUCUUGCUCAAAAGAUAUCCGCCGGGACGCGCAAGUGCACACACUCGAGACUUGAGGGCAAGGCGACAUGUCGAGAGGAGCGGAGGACGUGGAGUAUUCCUCCUCUCCGGCGAUCCACGGAUGUCCUUUAAAAAUCUUAUUGAACGU